CGGGAUAUAUAUCCUCGAGAUUUAUACUUGUGCUGCACUAUUGUACUGAUUAUGAGCUCCAGGAUUUUGGGGCUUGUGAGAGACAAGGCUUAAAGGGGCUUGCUCGAGGACAAGGCUUAGAGGGGCUUGCUCGAGGGCAAGGCUUAAAUGGGCUUGUCAAAGACAAGGCUUAAAGGGGCUUGCUCGAGGGCAAGGCUUAAAUGGGCUUGUCAAAGACAAGGCUUAAAGGGGCUUGCUCGAGGACAAGGCUUAGAGGGGCUUGCUCGAGGGCAAGGCUUAAAUUGGCUUGUCAAAGACAAGGCUUAAAGGGGCUGUUAUACCCGAUGUUUGAAUUUAUUAAUUGUUCGGACUGGACUUGGAUUUAUAUUGCAUCCAAGCUGCCUACGUACCCAAACGGGAUCAAGUCGAACGUAGUUCAUUACAAAAGAGAACGGAAAACAUGCAUGGGCACGCAGGCCCGCUAAACUAGAAAUAAAAUGCAGGAAAAGAAAAUCUCCUUAAAGGCGUCGGGAAUUUUACUUGUAAUAUAUUUUCAAAUUGUCGGCAUUCCAGGGCCUCGGAAGAGGUCUACCCGAAGUGUCUCUUAGGCUGUAUGCUCCUUUGCGAACCUGCCGUAUGACCUCAAAGGGUCCUUCCCAGACGGGCCCGAG
rnacentral:lncRNA from 1 species